rnacentral:rRNA from 1 species
GACGAACGCUGGCGGCGCGCCUAACACAUGCAAGUCGAACGAGCGAGAGAGAGCUUGCUUUCUCGAGCGAGUGGCGAACGGGUGAGUAACGCGUGAGGAACCUGCCUCAAAGAGGGGGACAACAGUUGGAAACGACUGCUAAUACCGCAUAAGCCCACGACCCGGCAUCGGGUGGAGGGAAAAGGAGCAAUCCGCUUUGAGAUGGCCUCGCGUCCGAUUAGCUAGUUGGUGAGGUAACGGCCCACCAAGGCGACGAGCGGUAGCCGGACUGAGAGGUUGAACGGCCAGAAUGGGACUGAGACACGGCCCAGACUGCGACGGGAGGCAGCAGUGGGGAAUAUUGCACAAUGGGGGAAACCCUGAUGCAGCGACGCCGCGUGGAGGAAGAAGGUCUUCGGAUUGUAAACUCCUGUGGUAGAGGAAGAUAAUGACGGUACUCAACAAGGAAGAGACGGCUAACUACGUG